AGAGUUUGAUCCUGGCUCAGGAUGAACGCUAGCGGCAGGCUUAAUACAUGCAAGUCGAGGGGCAUCGGAUCCCUUCGGGGAUGCCGGCGACCGGCGAACGGGUGAGUAACACGUAUGGAACCUGCCCUUAACUGGGGGAUAGCCCCGAGAAAUCGGGGUUAAUACCCCAUACCAUAAUGAAGGGGCAUCCCUUCAUUAUGAAAGCUCCGGCGGUUAAGGAUGGCCAUGCGGUCCAUUAGCUUGUUGGUGAGGUAACUGCUCACCAAGGCCACGAUGGAUAGCUGAUCUGAGAGGAUGGUCAGCCACAUUGGCACUGAGACACGGGCCAAACUCCUACGGGAGGCAGCAGUAGGGAAUCUUGGUCAAUAGGCGAAAGCCUGAACCAGCCAUGCCGCGUGCAGGAUGAAGGCCCUACGGGUCGUAAACUGCUUUUAUUCGGGAAGAAAAAGUCUGUGUCCACAGACCUUGACGGUACCGAAUGAAUAAGGACCGGCCAACUCCGUGCCAGCAGCCGCGGUAAUACGGAGGGUCCAAGCGUUAUCCGGAUUCACUGGGUUUAAAGGGUGCGCAGGCGGUCAAGUAAGUCAGUGGUGAAAGCCUUCGGCUCAACCGGAGAAUUGCCAUUGAAACUACCUGACUUGAGUGUAGUUGANGUGGGCGGAAUGUAGCAUGUAGCGGUGAAAUGCAUANAUAUGCUACAGAACACCGAUAGCGAAAGCAGCUCACCAGACUACGACUGACGCUGAGGCACGAAAGCAUGGGUAGCAAACAGGAUUAGAUACCCUGGUAGUCCAUGCCGUAAACUAUGAACACUCGGAGUUUGUCGCCUAGCGAUAAGCUCCCUAGCGAAAGCGUUAAGUGUUCCACCUGGGGAGUACGGCCGCAAGGCUAAAACUCAAAGGAAUUGACGGGGGCCCGCACAAGCGGAGGAGCAUGUGGUUUAAUUCGAUGGUACGCGAGGAACCUUACCUGGGCUAUAAUGCCUGUGACAGCUCCGGAAACGGGGUCUUCCUUCGGGACACAGUGCAAGGUGCUGCAUGGCUGUCGUCAGCUCGUGCCGUGAGGUGUUGGGUUAAGUCCCUUAACGAGCGCAACCCCUAUCUUUAGUUGCCAGCACUUUUAGGUGGGCACUCUAAAGAAACUGCCUGCGUAAGCAGCGAGGAAGGAGGGGAUGACGUCAAGUCAUCAUGGCCCUUAUGCCCAGGGCUACACACAUGCUACAAUGGUGAGUACAAGGGGAAGCCACUUGGCGACAAGGAGCUAAUCCCUAAAGCUCAUCACAGUUCGGAUUGGAGUCUGCAACUCGACUCCAUGAAGCUGGAUUCGCUAGUAAUCGUGGAUCAGCAAUGUCACGGUGAAUACGUUCCCGGGCCUUGUACACACCGCCCGUCAAGCCAUGGAAGUCGGGAGUACCUGAAGCCAGUAACCGUGAAGGAGCUGGUGAGGGUAAGCCCGGCAACUGGGGCUAAGUCGUAACAAGGUA
rnacentral:rRNA from 1 species